CCUUACCAACCCUUGACAUCCUGUGCUACAUCCAGAGAUGGAUGGUUCCCUUCGGGGACGCAGUGACAGGUGCUGCAUGGCUGUCGUCAGCUCGUGUCGUGAGAUGUUCGGUUAAGUCCGGCAACGAGCGCAACCCACAUCUUCAGUUGCCAGCAGUUCGGCUGGGCACUCUGGAGAAACUGCCCGUGAUAAGCGGGAGGAAGGUGUGGAUGACGUCAAGUCCUCAUGGCCCUUACGGGUUGGGCUACACACGUGCUACAAUGGUGGUGACAGUGGGUUAAUCCCCAAAAGCCAUCUCAGUUCGGAUUGUGGUCUGCAACUCGACCCCAUAAGUCGGUCUCGUAUGCUGUCACGUCACGACCAUGCUCC
rnacentral:rRNA from 1 species